GCCAUGCAAGGUCUACAAUUCCAGCAUCUAUUCUCACAGUUGGGAGGCUUUGAACCUAAGUGCAUUUUUCUUUGCUUCUCUUCUUCGUUUCCUCUUCCUCCUCCUGAUGAUGAUGAUGAUCCAACUGCCACAAAUCAACAAGAUGAGAAGCAGAGUGACCACUGCAACAAUUCUUAGCCCAUUUGGGUAGGAAGCUAAUGAAGCCAUAGGCCUUAUCAAGUGGGUAUGGAAGAAAGUGGGAAGCUAUAUGUUGAUCUAUUGGAGUUAUUAAAAAUACUGUUUUUGUUUCAGUUUUCUUCUAAACGGGUAAGAAAAAGGUAUUUCAAUAUAGAAACUAUUUUCAAGUUCUAUAUACUUAAAAAAAAAAAAAAAAAAAAAAA